rnacentral:miRNA from 1 species
UCUACCCACAAGGAACUUAGGG